CUAACCCUGUGCUGUACCUGUCCUGGGAGUGUUUGAUGGGGACAGUGUAGAGGGAGCUUCUAGGUUUACAUAGUGCCAUACAGGUCACUCGGAAUCUUCCCUCUGCACUCAGUCAAUUACUUUGGAAGCCGACGGAUCAUUGUGCAGCCAUUCUGCACACAGAAACAAAUCCGAUAAGAAAUCCUCCACUAAGCAGGCUCCGAAGGAACAACCAAAAAAAGGGGAGCAAAAAGGAGAAACAAAGAAGCAAGGAGGUGAACAGAACAAAAAGAAAGACGGAGAACAUAAAGAUAGAGUGUAAAAAUCACCAGAUCCCGGCAGCCAAAGGCCAAGGAAUGGUAGCUUACAGAGCUUUCUGAAGAUGGCUUUGGAGAUUCUACUGGGAUCGUGUCGACGCAGACCCAAGAGGAAUCGAACGUCGUGCGAUCGCGUAGGCUAAGGAAGCUCCACACUUGGCCACUCUCUCAAAGCUUACACCUCAAAUAAACUAACUCAAGUCUUCCAAACAAA